rnacentral:rRNA from 1 species
GAUGAACGCUGGCGGCGUGCCUAAUACAUGCAAGUCGAGCGAACGGACGAGAAGCUUGCUUCUCUGAUGUUAGCGGCGGACGGGUGAGUAACACGUGGAUAACCUACCUAUAAGACUGGGAUAACUUCGGGAAACCGGAUCUAAUACCGGAUGAUAUUUUGAACCGCAUGGUUCAAAAGUGAAAGACGGUCUUGCUGUCACUUAUAGAUGGAUCCGCGCUGCAUUAGCUAGUUGGUAAGGUAACGGCUUACCAAGGCAACGAUGCAUAGCCGACCUGAGAGGGUGAUCGGCCACACUGGAACUGAGACACGGUCCAGACUCCUACGGGAGGCAGCAGUAGGGAAUCUUCCGCAAUGGGCGAAGGCCUGACGGAGCAACGCCGCGUGAGUGAUGAAGGUCUUCGGAUCGUAAAACUCUGUUAUUAGGGAAGAACAUAUGUGUAAGUAACUGUGCACAUCUUGACGGUACCUAAUCAGAAAGCCACGGCUAACUACGUG